AUUGAACGCCGGCGGAAUGCUUUACACAUGCAAGUCGAGCGGGGUGAUGGUGCUUGCACUAUCACUUAGCGGCGGACGGGUGAGUAAUGCUUAGGAAUCUGCCUAUUAGUGGGGGACAACAUCUCGAAAGGGAUGCUAAUACCGCAUACGUCCUACGGGAGAAAGCAGGGGAUCACUUGUGACCUUGCGCUAAUAGAUGAGCCUAAGUCGGGUUAGCUAGUUGGUGGGGUAAAGGCCUACCAAGGCGACGAUCUGUAGCGGGUCUGAGAGGAUGAUCCGCCACACUGGGAAUGAGACACGGCCCAGACGCCUACGGGAGGCAGCAGUGGGGAAUAUUGGACAAUGGGGGGAACCCUGAUCCAGCCAUGCCGCGUGUGUGAAGAAGGCCUUAUGGUUGUAAAGCACUUUAAGCGAGGAGGAGGCUCUUUUGGUUAAUACCCAAGAUGAGUGGACGUUACUCGCAGAAUAAGCACCGGCUAACUCUGUGCCAGCCGCCGCCGUAA
rnacentral:rRNA from 1 species